AGUUUUAAUUUGCUUCGUUUUAAUCACAAUGCACCUUGUUUUUAUUCAACACUAUCACUGUAUAUUUGUAUAUGUAUACAUAUGCAAUUUCGUUAAUUGUGACUCAUAACCCAAAAGAGUCAGACAGCUCUACUUAAAAAUACGAAAUAUUAAGCUUGAUUAGAGUAUAAACAGAAUUAUGUAAUGGAAGAACAUAAUAACAAUCAUGUUUCUUUUACGAAUGUUUUACGAAACUAAGACACUUUCAAACACGUGUCGGUCGAUCACUGUCCAUUUGAACGUUGUAUAAUUCAUUGCAGUUGUUUCAACAUUGUUGCAGAUAAAUCUAUAUUCGAGCAACCUUCCAAUUGGAAACAUUGAAAAUUAUAAUUCAGCGUUGUUUCUGUGCAGCAAUAAAACGAACUUAUAUAUGCCAUUGUGUGCACGUAAUGAUUUUUAAUCGUUAGCAAGAAUUCUUGUCCCUCUUUUUUUUUAAUUUUCAUUCGUUUAUCCGAAUACGAUCAGAAAAUUGCCUUGCGCCGGUUGGGACAUAAUUGACUCGCGAAUAAACAUAACCUAUGUAUGUAAAUUUUAAGUGAAGCGCGACAAUGUCAUCGGGAGCCGUGAUUGGGGAAUUUUUUUUAUUGCAUUGGUGUUAUGACCCUCACAAUGAAAUGUUCGAAGUGUUUAUUAUAUGACAUGUGUGAUCGCCCGUCUCCUCAAAAAUGAUUUAUGCUACAUUAUUAUUGUAAAUGUAACAUAAAAUUACUACGGUAAUCACAGUGGUACCGUUCCUUAUGUUUAUUUAGAUUACUAAUGCAUAUGAAUAAAUUCGUGAAGUAUUUUGAAAACACUGUCAUGCAAAAUUGUAUUCUAAAAAGUUUUAUGUGUUUUCGCGUGGUUGCGGCGGGGGUAUAAAGGUCGCUCUGUGCUGCAACGUUCGAAUGGUAAUAAGUCAACACGCGAUACCGCGUGAACGAAGAUUUAACGACAGAGUCGCCCACUCGAUAUCGUAAUUGAAUAUUGAACAGUGACAGCAUGCGAUAUCGCAAGGUCGGACAUUUAACGUUUAACGACUGUACGAUAUCGCAAAAAUGAAUAUUAGACAUUAACGAUCAACUACGCAAUACCGUCUGAGUAGAUAUUAGUAUCAGUAAUUGAUGAUAUUGUAGGAAUAGUUAAUUCGCAUUAUCGACUGACCACGCGAUGCCGCGUGAAUGGAUAUUUGGCGAUAAGUAAUCAUCCAUAAUAUACAUAUAAUUAUGAGUUCGAACUCGAGGUUUGAUAAAAUAUCUGAUCAAAUCUUUUUGACUCAAAUUUUAACUAAAUAUGAGGAACGAGCAAGUGAGGAGUAUUAAAUAUGUUAAUAAAAACUUGAUGCGACGCGAAUACAAAAUUGUCUUGAUCGUUUGAUGAAAAAGAACGGAUUGAAAGAGUGAUUACGGACGUGUACAAUGUGUACACAUGUUUAUUGAUAGUUAGUCGCGAUUCUGCGAAGCAAAAAUGUCGAUGUUUAAUAUGAUAAGUCGUUACAGGAAUAAAUUCGUUGGACGUUUAUCAAAGAGAAGGUGAAUCGAACAUCAAAUAUGCAUUUUCAAUGUGAUAACACGAAUGUUGCACUGAUUUAUAUCUUGAACUGCAUGGAUGUAUCUAGAUAUAGGCAGAGAGGUUCUUCUACGCGAAAACAAAAAACUGGUUUUGACUGUUUAAACAUUUCGUAAACAAAAGGUACGUUGAUGAAACCUCAAAUUCCUUGGAAAGCCCAUACGUAGACGGAAUAAAAAGGUCAAAGAAAAUUAAGAGCGAAGCACAAUCUUUUUUUCCGAUCCCACAAUAUGGCAGUCUUUUUAUCUUGUGAAGCGCAGUACCUUGAAACUUCUGCGUAAUCGAAUACAUUUCGAAACGAGAAAGGUCAUUUCGGACUGCAAAACAGGGGCAACAUAACGGUGCGCUAAUUUUAUAAGCGGAAACAUCUCAGACAUUUCAAGGUCAUCGUCAUUCCUUUAAAUGGAACGUAUUACUUUAUAUAUUAAAAUUUGGUAAAAUAUCAAAUUUGGAGUAUUCAGCUUUAUUCCUUAGUUAAAGUAGAGGCUCGAAAUGAUAUACAAUGACAUAAUCUAUUGAUCAACAAGGAAAUAACAUUGUGAACUAAUUUUGUACAAAGUGUAAAUUCGUUCUUAAAUACUUUGUAAUUUCGCUUUUACAGUCCUUGUUUUUUAAUGGCAAAUUAAAAAAAUUAAAACAUCGAAUUUUUUAAAUAUCUUGUCAACUACGAACUUGAGGUCAAUAAGUUUGAUAUCGCAUAUCGAUACAAAAAAAUUGUUAUUCCAUAUAAACAAAUAUUGUUCUUCGAAAAGCAUGACCUACAAAUGAAGUUCAUAUCCUGUUUAAUAUUUGUCUCGUAACUUUAUUAGCUUUCUGUAUCAAUGAUAUUCAUGGAAACAGUAGUCUCGUCACACUGUCAGAGACAGAGUUGUAGAAAUAGAACAUUUUUGGAUAUGAUAAUAUACAAACAGGCUCUUCCAUGAAACGUUGUAUAUUUUGUUAAUAAAGUAGAAAAAUAGGUUUGAUAUUUGUUGCGUAUAUCUUGUAAGUGUACGUAGCGUAGUUCUAACACAUUUUUGACAGAGUGCAGUUUAAAAAUUAUGUCACAUGCUUCUCCGUAUGUUCUCUUAAAAAUCAAACACGUCAUAGCUUCUUUGAAAGAAAGUAGAUCUGAUUAAUGAUUUCAUUUUUGUGAUGAAUAAAACAAGUAAAACCAGUUCAUUGCACAAAUGCGCUUACGUCCAGGGGAAAUCACAUCUGUAAAUAACAAAUACUUGAUAGGUGCAUACGUACAAGAUCACGUGGACGCGGGCAGUGUGAAUCAUUUACAACGUCUGUUUCGCAACGUACCGUUGAAGAGACCGUAGGCUUCGUUUCCAAGAAUACAAGUAUCCUCGGGAUGUUCCGCUCAUUAUCGUUUCAAUUAUAUUCCACCCACGUAUUUACAAUUUUUUUCAAAUAUGUUUAAUUUUAGACGAGAACUACCAUCUUUACACUCUGAAGGUAAUUCCCGAUUCCAAUCUUAACUUUUUUCUCAUUUUCCAACAUUGGAUAGUUGCAGCAUUCUAAACUGUUAUAAUCGCUACUAUUUCCUGGAUCUUCGUCGGAUAACAAUAUCCAUUUUUGCAUUGUUAUAUCAUAUGCUUAGUCUUCGAGCAUAACUUCGGUCGUAAAGUUGUAAUCAUUCAUGAAACUCAUUUUGUCAAGUGUUUAAAGGGAACUGUAAUAUCGAUAGAAGAUCGUAGUUAAUUAAAAGUAAACAAUAAAAUUUAAUAACAUUUAGAUGGGACUGCAACGCAAUACCAAGUGUUAUAGACGGGAACUUGUCUAAAUAAUUCCAUACAUACAUGUAGAUGCCGCGUCGCGGAUUAAACAAGGACAAGGAAGAUCACCUUUAAAUGUAUUCUUCUCGUACUUGCACCAUACUUGCUAUAGAUCUCUAGAAACAUAAAUGUACAAUGAAAUAUUUAUAAGUAUACAUUAGGAAUGUGCAGGUACUCGAGAUUACAGGAUUGGAUAUGAACCCGAAAGUAUCUUGUCAAACGUAUACUAUAGAGACUUGCUAUAUUGCCCUGGACGAAGCUAUAGAAAUGUAAUAAAUUACAGUAACAGUCGUAUACACUACUUCAUGGUAUUUGAUUGACAAAAUCCUACAGACAAAUUUUUUAAAUUUAAAAUUUAAUAUAAAGGGUAAUUCGCUCAGUAGCCUUAUAUAGCAAGACUAUAUUAUAUACAAAUGCGCACAACUCAGAAACUUUCGGGUCCCUAAGAUAUGAUUUGGGAUUGUGCCGCAGGCUCGUGUUGAGUCAGAAGUCGGACACGAUCGGACGAGCUCGAAAUAUUUUUUUGCGCAUGAAUUGUUCAGUUUGCAAUGUUUACAAACUAUUGAUUUUAAAAGUGACUUGAGUCACUUUACAAUAAUACAGAAUAACAAUUUAUUACAUUAUUUACUCUAAAAAGAAUAUAAGUAACCAAGUUAUCAAAUACUGGUGAAAUUCCUCCAUGGUAAACAUGUGAAUAUAUUUUUAGACACAUUGAAAUACAAAACAUUCAAUAUCUGAAAAUAACAUAAAAGUGACUCGUGUCACUUUUAAAAUAAACGGCUCAUUUAUUUCUACAAGUUUGUUUUCUUUAUUUAUUAACAGUUGCAUUGUUAUGGUAACGUAAGAUCGAUAAAUUAAAUACUAAAAAGAUUAAAUAAAUCAGUCCAAAUAUUGAUAUAUACCCAACUAUAGAAUGACAUCCAA